rnacentral:rRNA from 1 species
GACCUCAAAUCAGGCAAGAGUACCCGCUGAACUUAAGCAUAUCAAUAAGCGGAGGAAAAGAAACUAACCAGGAUUCCCCUAGUAACGGCGAGUGAAGCGGGAACAGCCCAAAUUUUAAAUCGAUCAAAAGGUCGAGUUGUAAUUUGUAGAAUUGCUUUCCACGUCUUUAUCCGAUGAAAAGUCCCUUGGAAUAGGGCAUCACAGAGGGUGAUAAUCCCGUAUUUUAUCGUGAUUUUGACGUCGUGUGUAGUAAUUUCAAAGAGUCGAGUUGUUUGGGAUUGCAGCUCAAAACGGGUGGUAAAUUCCAUCUAAGGCUAAAUAACGGCAAGAGACCGAUAGCGAACAAGUACCGUGAGGGAAAGAUGAAAAGAACUUUGAAAAGAGAGUUAAACAGUACGUGAAAUUGUUGAAAGGGAAACGAUUGAGGCCAGUCAUGCCUGCGAGAAAUCAAUCAAUUGAUUGGGUUUUCUUUUGAAUUCUUAGUUAGUUGGUGCACUUUUUCGCGUGGCAGGUUAGCAUCAACUUUGAUUGUUGUAAAAUGGUGGUCGGAAUGUGACUCUUUUAGAGUGUUAUAGCCGAUUACAGAUGCAACGAUCGAGGUUGAGGUUUGCGACAAAUGCCUUUGGGCUACUUACCUUCCUUCUGAUAUGUUCACUUUGAAAUGACAGCUUGCUGAUAUUUUAAAGGGCGUUCAAUCAAUAGGGUAGAGUAGGAUAAAUUUGGCAAGGAUGCUGACGUAAUGACCUUAAACGACCCGUCUUGAAACACGGACCAAGGAGUCCAACAUACGUGCGAGUGUUUGGGUGGCAAACCCAUACGCGAAAUGAAGGUGAACGUAGGUGGGAUCUGUCGUUUCACGACGAUAGUGCAGCAUCGACCGAUCCGGAGAUUUAUUGAUAGAUUUGAGUAAGAGCA